ACCACCUAGUUUACUAUAGUAAUAGCACUGCACUAUACAUGACAAACACACCAUUGAUACAAGUGCAGGUUAAUGGAGCAUGGGCUAUUAUCUCCAUAGGCAACAAAGAAAGCUUAUGAUAAGAUAGCAUAAUAAAUCACUGAAUGUGGAGUAUAGUGCAAAAGCCAAGAGAAGAGUCCAUUACAGUGAAGAUGUCAAUGAUGACUUCGUCGUAAAACUCAAUCACCAAUAAUCUCAGAUAUGUAACUGAGCUUUAAUUUUUCAGCCCACUUGCAACAACAAUGAAUCUGUUGUCCUGACUAUAUAUGUGUGUGCUAAAGUUCAGACAAAAAACAGACAAUACCUCUUAUGAUGACCAUACUCUUUCCAUAUACAACUUGAUAAAUCUCUUGGUUGGUCUUUAGGGGCCCAAGUUAUGGUUAUCGAGGCAGAGUGAUGCUUCCUUUUGAAGAAAAUGGAUCUUUCACAAAUUGGGGUCCUAUUUGACUAGCAGAUCUUUGAUGCCUUAUUCUUGUGAUGGGAUGAUAUGCAAAUCAUCUU